rnacentral:lncRNA from 1 species
CUGAAUUCCUUACAAAAAUGAAUCUUAAAGCUAAAACAGUUCAGGUCCAACCAAUGUUUUAAAAAACGCGCCUUGGGCGCGCCUUGAGGCUCAAAAGGCGCGAGGCGCAUGAAAAAUUCCUUAUGUUUUGCUGGUUAGGCGUAGAGACGCAAAAGGCGCAAAAAACGCACUCUAAGGCGCAUAAGGCGUGCGCCUAGUGUAAGUGAAGGAAAACGGGAUCGUUUUGGGUAAGUGUUUUACUUAAGGCUGGGUCGUGUGCCUCCCUCUCUCUUUUCGCCCUCCUUCCCUCCUCCCUCUCCCUCUCGAACAUAGAGACACAAUCGACCACCACCAGGAUUCCACCAGUUUGCGACCACCACCGACCAUCUGACCAUCGACCACCACUAAGAUUCUGACCAUCGGACCAGUCGACCACCGCCUCGUCGCUGCCUUCUGCAACUCAAUCGCCUCAAACCUCUUCCUCCUAAGCCUCGCAUUACGGUCACCAACUCACCAUUGAUUUGAGGUAUGCAGUACGCACAUCAUUCCGAAUUUCCGAUUCAAUUGGACUGUUGUGAAUUGUGUUUUCUUAGUAUAUGAUGCAACAUUGUGCUCUGAUUAUCUAAGUAUAGAUUGGAGCAGGCUUCCUGUAAAUGCUCACAACUCUGUGUUGGUUUUGUCUAAGUAUAGAACUAUAGAUUGCCUUUGUCAAUGGUGUGUUGCAGAUAGCAUUUACAGGAAGCUGCCUGUAAAUGGUGUGUUGGUUUUGUCAAUGGUGUGUUGGUUUUGUCUAAAUAUAGAACUAUAGAUUGCCUUUGUCAAUGGUGUGUUGCAGACAGCAUUUACAGGAAGCUACCUGUAAAUGGUGUGUGUGUGUGUUUUUUUUUUCAAAAGGCUUACGCUUUAGUGAGGCUCUCUUUUCAUAACCUCGGCUACGCCUUAGUUUUUUAAAACAUUGGGUCCAAUGCAAAUUAAAGGAUGACAGAUAUGUAUAUUUAUGGAUAUGUUGGCUGGUGUAAUGUAGGUUGGGACUUGGGAGUUAUGAGUUGGGGGAUACUUUAAUUUAACUAAUAUGAUUAUUGAAUGAUUUUAAGGACUUUUUGUUUCUAAAUAGUACUUUUUGAGAAGUAUAGAUUCUUUUACCUAAAACUGGGUGUGCGUGUGUGUGUAUAUAUACAUGCAGACCUUAAUCAUGUCCUAAUCUUGAACAUAAGAUAGAAGUAUCUUCUAACAUAUAUGCUUUGUUUCAUAAUUAUAUGCAAAUCUAAGUUGUUCAACCAAAAUGUAGACCUUAAUAUUGUAUGAGUGACAACCAAGUUUGUAGACAUUCUCAACUGUUUUUCUGUAUUAAAAAGAAUACUUCGUGUAACAGUGUACUGGAGAUUUUGAAUCUAAGAUCUCUAAGACCUCAUUAGCUUCCAUGUGGUUGGCAAUGUCAAUUUCAAGCGAUAUAGGCCACCCAUAUACAUCAUUAUUAAGAACUCAACCGAAAAAUAAUAUUGACUUUAAAAUUAAAACAACAACGAAUUAGUUGUAUGUCAUUACAUCAAGACGAAAAGAACACUUGAUGAACUAAAAUGAGCAAUUC